rnacentral:rRNA from 1 species
UACGAAGGGGGCUAGCGUUGCUCGGAAUCACUGGGCGUAAAGGGUGCGUAGGUGGCCGGGUAAGUUUGAUGUGAAAGCUCGGAGCUUAACUCCGAAAUGGCAUUGAAUACUAUCCGGCUAGAGGGUCGGAGGGGAGACUGGAAUUCUCGGUGUAGCAGUGAAAUGCGUAGAUAUCGAGAGGAACACCAGUGGCGAAGGCGAGUCUCUGGACGACUCCUGACACUGAGGCACGAAAGCCAGGGGAGCAAACAGG